rnacentral:rRNA from 1 species
UGGGGAAUUUUGGACAAUGGGCGAAAGCCUGAUCCAGCAAUGCCGCGUGUGUGAAGAAGGCCUUCGGGUUGUAAAGCACUUUUGUCCGGAAAGAAAUCCUUGGCUCUAAUACAGUCGGGGGAUGACGGUACCGGAAGAAUAAGCACCGGCUAACUACGUGCCAGCAGCCGCGGUAAUACGUAGGGUGCAAGCGUUAAUCGGAAUUACUGGGCGUAAAGCGUGCGCAGGCGGUUUGCUAAGACCGACGUGAAAUCCCGGGCUCAACCUGGGAACUGCAUUGGUGACUGGCAGGCUAGAGUAUGGCAGAGGGGGGUAGAAUUCCACGUGUAGCAGUGAAAUGCGUAGAGAUGUGGAGGAAUACCGAUGGCGAAGGCAGCCCCCUGGGCCAAUACUGACGCUCAUGCACGAAAGCGUGGGGAGCAAACAGGAUUAGAUACCCUGGUAGUCCACGCCCUAAACGAUGUCAACUAGUUGUUGGGGAUUCAUUUCCUUAGUAACGUAGCUAACGCGUGAAGUUGACCGCCUGGGGAGUACGGUCGCAAGAUUAAAACUCAAAGGAAUUGACGGGGUCAUAGCUGUUUCCU